rnacentral:rRNA from 1 species
GAUCAUGGCUCAGGAUGAACGCUAGCUACAGGCUUAACACAUGCAAGUCGAGGGGAAACGACAUCGAAAGCUUGCUUCCGAUGGGCGUCGACCGGCGCACGGGUGAGUAACGCGUAUCCAACCUGCCCAUCACUUGGGAAUAACCUUGCGAAAGUAAGACUAAUGCCCAAUGAUAUCCCACGAAGGCAUCCGAAUGGGAUUAAAGAUUUAUCGGUGAUGGAUGGGGAUGCGU